UGAAUUUUGCCUCUUUAAUAUUUUCCGAGUUUUGUGGGGAUAUGCCGUCGGCCGAUUGUCAGAAGUAUGAGGACUUCCUGCCGAUUAUUGGAGAGUUUGGACCAUUUCAGAGGAAACUACUCCUUGGCUUGCUUCUGGCCGCCUUUCUGUUUGCAUUCACCUACCUUGGCCAGAUAUUCAUGGUGCUAGUGCCCACUCACUGGUGCAGAAUUCGGGAACUGGAGGGGUUGCCCAAGGAAGAGCAAUUAAAGCGGGGAAUCCCCACAAAGCCAGAUGGAGAUUACGAGAAUUGUGUCAUGUACAAUGAGCCCUUAGAUUCGAAUAUGACUAACAUGAGCAAUCAGACGAGGAGAACGGUGUCCUGCAACGAUGGUUGGGUUUAUGACCGUAACGAGAUUCCCUACGAGUCCAUUGCCACCGAAUAUAAUUGGGUGUGCGAUAAACAGGAGCUCAGUACCUAUUCUGUUAUAGCCUAUUUUCUUGGCUCAGUUGUGGGUUGUCUUUGCUUUGGCUAUGUCGCCGAUCAUUACGGUCGUUUGGUGGCCUUGUUUCUGGCGAAUUCUUGCUCAAUGAUCGGCGGCUGCAUUAGUGCAGUGUGCAAGGACUUUUACUGCUUUGCUGCCAGCAGGUGUAUAGUUGGACUGGCCAUGAAUAACUGCUUUCUUCCCAUCUAUAUUCUAACCUUGGAAAACGUAGGCAUUAAAUAUCGUACCUUGGUAGGAAAUUUGGGUCUUGCUGUCUUCUUUACCUUGGGAACCGUCAUUCUGCCUUGGAUUGCCUAUGCCUUCGAAAAUUGGAGGCAUUACGCCCUGGUCAUCGCUCUACCAGUGGUACUACUGAUUUUGGUAAGCUUACUGCUUCCCGAAUCACCCAGUUGGCUCUUAUCGAUGGGAAAAUUUGAGAGAGGAAUGCUAGUCUUGAAGGAGGCAGCUGAAAGCAAUGGAAAAACUAUUUCCGAUAAGGAGUGGUCAAAAAUGGAGAAAUGUUUUGAACUCAAAUUGGAAAACGAACUCAAAUUGAAACACCACACCUGUCUGGAUCUUUUCAAAACUUGUCGCAGGUCUGUGGUUAUGAUCAUACUGAUCGUUUGUUGGAUGAUGGUGGCUCUGGUGUACGAUGCUCAUGUGCGGGUCGUCGAGUUCUUGAGCACCGAUAUCUUCCUCACAUUUUCCGUUUCCUCUCUCGUUGAACUGCCGGCUGGAAUUCUGCCUUUGUUGCUGCUAGAUCGUGUGGGUCGCAAACCUAUUAUGACGGUCGUGAUGUUCUGCUGUGCGGGCUUCAGUCUUGCGGCUGGCUUCCUAGAAAAAAAUCUGGAAGUAAUAAUAAUGGCGACUAUUGCCAGAUUUUUCGUUACAGUUGCCUACAAUGUGCACAUGCAAUGGAGCUCGGAAAUCUUGCCAACUGUGGUGCGCGGUCAGGGUAUGGCCACCAUCAAUGUUUUGGGACAAAUAUCUGUUCUGAUGUCACCGGUUAUUGUUUACACCCACCACAUUUACGAGCCCCUACCGAUGUUUAUAAUCGCUUUACUUUCGCUGAUCGCAGCUAUUAUAGUUGUGAUCUUGCCAGAGACCAAAAACACCGAUAUGCCUCAUUCUAUGGACGAAGCGGAAAAGCGAUGGACGCUAAGCUGCAGGAAUCAUUAGCCAAAUACAGAUUAAAUCGGAGACUCGAAUUAGAGGUUAUACAUGUACACAUUAUUUGGAAAUAAAAGUGUAACCUUUAAAUCGAGACUCCAAUGGUUUGAGUCCGCGAUGACUGUU